UUCUUGCUUUUCAUGGGCAGCCCAGUGGCCUUGGAGCGGUCCUUGAUGAAGCUGUGAGCCAGAGGAACAGGAGCCCUGCUGUUGGACUCUGGAGGUGAGACAGGGAUCCUGAAUUAUCACCUGCAUUGGAGGAACUAUUUGCAGCCACCCCACCCUGGAAAACAACCUCUGGAAAACAAGUCCUGCAAUGCCAUGGCACAGACAAAGGCCCUUUCAGAGCUGGCACACAAGGAACAAGCUUCUCUUGGGUCAAUAGAGCUGGCCUGGUUUCUAGGAGCUGCAGAUGGUGCCCAGCAGUAAAAUCAGCAGAGCCCAGCCACAGAGGAGAGGGAUGGCAGCCUGGUGCAGCUGGGAACAAGCUGAGGAUGCAAAAGCAACAGGUCCAGCUGGCAGGGGAGAGAUGCAGAGAGCCAGGGAAGAGGCUGGAAACAACCACAGCACAGAGAGAUCCUGGUGGAGCAGCCCACCAGGGGUGGGCUCACCACUGCAGUGGUUGUCCCUCGUGGCUGGAAGUCCUCACAGAGUUUAUCCAUCGAGGAUUAAGCCUAGGACAGAGUGUGAUGACUAAUGAGCACCUGGAAGUCAGGACUGCAAUUAAGCAGAGGCACCUCCACGGGUGGACAUAGCAAAGAGAUGAUGAGGAGUAAGAAAAACAAGCCCUCCAGAGCAGCAUUGCUUCCCAGGGACGUGUGGCAGCUCCCUGCAGCACAGGAGCCAGCAGAGCCUCUCUCUCCCAUGCCCAGAACCAAAUUCACACUACCCAGGAUGUCCAGCAAGGUUCCUCCUCCUCCCUGUCAGAGACCCACAGGCUGCCAGAGGGGAACUGCUUUGACUGGCCUGGGAAGGCCUGGGCUUCACAAGACCCAUGAAGGAUGUGUGUUAGAGAGAGGAGGGGAUGGGCAGCCAGUGCUGGGGGAGGAAACCCUUUCCUGGGGUUCUGAAUCAGUGUUUGACACAAUGGCAGAGGGUCCCACCUGCACACAGCUCUUUAUGAAGCCUUACAAGCCAGACACUCCCCAAGAAGAAUCUCAAGCUGAUCUAAGCUGUGCUCCCAGCCUGACUGGAUGAGUGCCCUGUUCUGUCCCAGUUUAAACUCUUUGGGACAGGCAUUUCCUGUUCCCUGGAUGCUCAGUGUAGGGCACAGGGGGUGACCAAUGGUGUGAGGUACAAAGGCUGUGCUCCCCGUGUGACACCUCCCAGGAUCAUCACAGGGUGUGGGUUAUUGACACUGCAGCAGAGCACAGCCAUGAAACACCACUGCCCCUCUGGACACACACACAUUUACUUCCAGCAGGCUGUUUCUCCCCUUUUAAAACAGCAUUUAAAUCACCCCAGCAGACCCUGGCUGCCCAUCUCUCUAAAGAGCAGGGAAUAAACAACACAUCACAAUACGCCAGAGCACUCGGCCAACACAUCCCUAGAAAAUUACCAGGCAGAGAAUUCCCAGUGCAAAAAAAACCACAAGACAGCACUGGAAAAACAAAACAGCAUUUACCAGUUCUAAACUUACACCUAAAACCCACCCUAAAUCUACAGGGAGCAAAAGCUAAUAAACUUUAUCAGCAAAUAAAAGCUAAUACAACUAAGUGACCAAACACACAAAGUGUCAUGGAAAAGGAAGCUAACACAGUAUCCAAGUCCCUACAAAGCCUCCCUCUGCCAGAUUGUCAGGGGAAGGAAAGGAGAGAGCCAAGAAUCUGUACAGGAGGGUCUCUCAAAGCUCAGACAAAAAAGGAGAAAGGGAGGUUGAUGUUUAGUGACCAUGGGUGCAGGACAUCCCACCUCACCCUCAGUCGGGCUGCUGAGGACUGUUGGUGACUGUGCCUGGAAAGAGCCAGCACACAGGAGGGAACAAGGCUCCUGGAUGCAGGAGAGCUGCCAAGCAGGCAGGCAGGAGGAGCAGAGAGCACUGCCAAAACCUUCCCCGUGCAGUGGCUCAGGCAGGCCCGGCUGCCGGCCAGACCGGUUCACCUGGUUUGAGUUUCCAAGGAAAGCUCAGAAGUCACCAAAAGGAGAAGAGGAGAAGGUGCUGUCCAUGACCACCAGCUGAGAGCAUGGCUGACAGCUUCGGGUAAGAGGCAGGAGCAGCUGGGAAAUAACCCGGGGAAAGCACAGGAUUCUCCUCCCACAGGGGCAGCAGAGGAGGAACAGAGAGCCCCUUGCUCUCCCUCUGCUUACCACAGACAUGGAUUGUCCAGCCAACCUGAAGGAGCUGCACAUGACAUGAAAGCACUUCAGAAAGAGAUAUUCAACUGGCCCAGCAGGAUUUAAAACUUACUAAGCAUUUCAGACUGCACCCAUACCCCAGGAGGCGAAGGGCAGGGUUCAGAUAAGGCAAAUGAGAGCAAAAGUGAGGAGCACCAGGCAGGAAAAGCACUUGAGAAGCCUCCACAGAGAGGCUGAUGCCCUCUUUCCACAUCAGCCUUGCUCCCAAGGCGCUGUAGGGAGCCUCCCCAUCAGCACCAGCCUCUUCUUCCCAAGCACCAUGUCAAUCACUCAUUGCACUUGUUUCUCCCAUCCCUGAGAGGAACAUCACAGCCAGAGGAACCGAGGCAGGCGAGGUACAACCUGAGCCCUCAAAGUCCUUCCCCUUGAGCAGAGGGGGACCAGGAGUGACAUCCCACACAGCUCAGGGUAAUGUUAGGGUUACCAGGGACACCCCUUUGGGACACAGCUGCUGCCACCCAAGGCGACACCUCUGAGGAUUUUGGGAAGGACGAGUUUCCUUCAGUACCUGUGGAAAGGAGGAGGGUACAGCCCUGGCUCUGACCUGCCCCAAAGAGGCCUCCAAGGCACCCUGCUCCCUCCAUCCUGCUCCCUCUACGGGGGACACACAGGGGUCCCCGCAGCCCCCACACCGCCUGCCCUGUCCCACACAUGAGGGAGCAGCUCUGCCCCUGCCCCUGUCCCCAGUACAUUGAACCUUCCAGCAGCAAAAUCCCCGUCCCACACCUGGGGUGGCCCUGGCAUCCCCCCAAUUCCAGGGAGCAACCCCCAACCAGCUCCUCAGCCCCCCAGCCGGGCCAGAUCCUCCCGGCACCCCCGACCUUUCCCCUCAGCCCCGAACGAGGCCGCGUGACAGCGCCUUCCCCAGCCGGAGCGCGGGGGGCCGCGGCCCUCACACCCCUUCCCAGGGCUCACCUGCCCGGCAGCUUGGCGCUGCGCUUCCAGAACUGCCU